ncrna:unclassified sequences DTF3800-XI RNA
AGGGCUGGUCGAAAGACCCAGGUCCAUCUGAUGGCGGGGAACUUCCCU